ACGCUCGACACCUACGGUAGGCAGCAGUGGGGAAUAUUGCACAAUGGGGGAAACCCUGAUGCAGCGACGCCGCGUGGAGGAAGAAGGUCUUCGGAUUGUAAACUCCUGUUGUUGGGGAAAAAGAGGAUGGUACCCAACAAGGAAGUGACGGCUAACUACGUGCCAGCAGCCGCGGUAAUCUGAGGCGGGCUGGCAAGGC
rnacentral:rRNA from 1 species